GGAUAACCUGCCCUUGGGUCCGGCAUAACCCCGGGAAACUGGGGAUAAUACCGGAUAACGCACAUAUGCUGGAAUGCUUUAUGCGUAAAAUGGAUUCGUCUGCCCAAGGAUGGGUCUGCGGCCUAUCAGGUAGUAGUGGGUGUAAUGUACCUACUAGCCGACAACGGGUACGGGUUGUGAGAGCAAGAGCCCGGAGAUGGAUUCUGAGACAUGAAUCCAGGCCCUACGGGGCGCAGCAGGCGCGAAAACUUUACAAUGCGGGAAACCGUGAUAAGGGGACACCGAGUGCCAGCAUCAUAUGCUGGCUGUCCGGGUGUGUAAAAUACACUCGUUAGCAAGGGCCGGGCAAGACCGGUGCCAGCCGCCGCGGUAACACCGGCGGCCCGAGUGGUGAUCGUGAUUAUUGGGUCUAAAGGGUCCGUAGCCGGUUUGGUCAGUCCUCCGGGAAAUCUGAUAGCUUAACUAUUAGGCUUUCGGGGGAUACUGCCAGACUUGGAACCGGGAGAGGUAAGAGGUACUACAGGGGUGGGAGUGAAAUCUUGUAAUCCCUGUGGGACCACCUGUGGCGAAGGCGUCUUACCAGAACGGGUUCGACGGUGAGGGACGAAAGCUGGGGGCACGAACCGGAUUAGAUACCCGGGUAGUCCCAGCCGUAAACGAUGCUCGCUAGGUGUCAGGCAUGGCGCGACCGUGUCUGGUGCCGCAGGGAAGCCGUGAAGCGAGCCACCUGGGAAGUACGGCCGCAAGGCUGAAACUUAA
rnacentral:rRNA from 1 species